rnacentral:rRNA from 1 species
GACGAACGCUGGCGGCGUGCUUAACACAUGCAAGUCGAACGGAAAGGCCCUGCUUUUGUGGGGUGCUCGAGUGGCGAACGGGUGAGUAACACGUGAGUACCCUGCCCUUGAUUUUGGGAUAACUUCAGGAAACUGGGGCUAAUACCGGAUAGGAGCUCCUGCUGCAUGGUGGGGGUUGGAAAGUUUCGGCGGUUGGGGAUGGACUCGCGGCUUAUCAGCUUGUUGGUGGGGUAGUGGCUUACCAAGGCUUUGACGGGUAGUCGGCCUGAGAGGGUGACCGGCCACAUUGGGACUGAGAUACGGCCCAGACUCCUACGGGAGGCAGCAGUGGGGAAUAUUGCACAAUGGGCGGAAGCCUGAUGCAGCAACGCCGCGUGCGGGAUGACGGCCUUCGGGUUGUAAACCGCUUUCGCCUGUGACGAAGCGUGAGUGACGGUAAUGGGUAAAGAAGCACCGGCUAACUACGUG